rnacentral:rRNA from 1 species
AAAUUGAAGAGUUUGAUCAUGGCUCAGAUUGAACGCUGGCGGCAGGCCUAACACAUGCAAGUCGAACGGUAACAGGAAGCAGCUUGCUGCUUCGCUGACGAGUGGCGGACGGGUGAGUAAUGUCUGGGAAACUGCCUGAUGGAGGGGGAUAACUACUGGAAACGGUAGCUAAUACCGCAUAAUGUCGCAAGACCAAAGAGGGGGACCUUCGGGCCUCUUGCCAUCGGAUGUGCCCAGAUGGGAUUAGCUUGUUGGUGGGGUAACGGCUCACCAAGGCGACGAUCCCUAGCUGGUCUGAGAGGAUGACCAGCCACACUGGAACUGAGACACGGUCCAGACUCCUACGGGAGGCAGCAGUGGGGAAUAUUGCACAAUGGGCGCAAGCCUGAUGCA